rnacentral:rRNA from 1 species
UCUACCNGAGUACUAUGAAUAAUAAAGAUUUAAAACUCAAAGAACUUGGCGGUGUUUUAGACCACUUAGGGGAACCUGUCUCGUAAUCGAUAAUCCACGUUGCACCUGACCUCUCUUUGUUUUUCAGUUUGUAUACCGUUGUCGUCAGGUAACUUUUUAGAAAUUAGAAGUUAGCAAUUGAAAAUAUCAUGAUUUAAUACGUCAAAUCAAGGUGCAGCUAAUAGAGAGGGGAGGAUGGGUUACAAUUAUAUAAUUUAUAAUAACGGAUGAAUGUAUGAAAUGUACGUUCUAAAUUAUAAGGCGGACUUGAAAGUAAAUUAAAAUAUGUAAAUAAUUUGAAUUAGGCUCUGAAACGUGU